rnacentral:rRNA from 1 species
CCUACGGGUGGCUGCAGUGGGGGAUAUUGCACAAUGGGGGAAACCCUGAUGCAGCGACGCCGCGUGGGCGAAGAAGUAUUUCGGUAUGUAAAGCCCUAUCAGCAGGGAAGAAGAAAUGACGGUACCUGAGUAAGAAGCACCGGCUAAAUACGUGCCAGCAGCCGCGGUAAUACGGGGGAUGCAAGCGUUAUCCGGAUUUAUUGGGUUUAAAGGGUGCGUAGGCUGUGAGGUAAGUCAGCGGUGAAAUGCCCCCGCUCAACGGGGUGAAGUGCCAUUGAUACUGCCUUGCUGGAAUGCGGAUGCCGUGGGAGGAAUGUGUGGUGUAGCGGUGAAAUGCUUAGAUAUCACGAAGAACUCCGAUUGCGAAGGCAGCUUACUAAACUGCCACUGACAUUGAUGCUCGAAAGUGUGGGUAUCAAACAGGAUUAGAUACCCCAGUAGUC